rnacentral:rRNA from 1 species
GACGAACGCUGGCGGCGUGCUUAACACAUGCAAGUCGAGCGGAAAGGCCCUUCGGGGUACUCGAGCGGCGAACGGGUGAGUAACACGUGAGUAACCUGCCCCAGACUUUGGGAUAACCCUCGGAAACGGGGGCUAAUACCGGAUACGACACAGCUUCGCAUGGGGUCUGUGUGGAAAGUUUUUCGGUUUGGGAUGGGCUCGCGGCCUACCAGCUUGUUGGUGGGGUGUUGGCCUACCAAGGCGACGACGGGUAGCCGGCCUGGGAGGGCGACCGGCCACACUGGGACUGAGACACGGCCCAGACUCCUACGGGAGGCAGCAGUGGGGAAUAUUGCACAAUGGGCGGAAGCCUGAUGCAGCGACGCCGCGUGAGGGAUGACGGCCUUCGGGUUGUAAACCUCUUUCAGCAGGGACGAAGCGUAAGUGACGGUACCUGCAGAAGAAGCGCCGGCCAACUACGUG